UCAAGCAUUAAGAGCGCAGGGUGGAUGCCUUGGCACUGAGAGCCGAUGAAGGACGUGAUAAGCUGCGAAAAGCUUCGGGGAGGAGCAAAUAUCCAUUGAUCCGGAGAUAUCCGAAUGGGGAAACCCACUUGAGCAAACCUCAAGUAUCCAUACGCCAAUCCAUAACGUAUGGAAGGGAACCGGGGGAACUGAAACAUCUAAGUACCCCGAGGAGAAGAAAGAAACCUCGAUUUCCAAAGUAGCGGCGAGCGAAAUGGAAAGAGCCCAAACCGUGGUGCGUGCACCGCGGGGUUGUGGACUGCAUAAGGUACUCGAAUCAAUAGCCGAACAGUUUUGGGAAAUCUGAUCAGAGAGGGUGAAAAUCCCGUAGGCGAAAUUGAUGAGAGGCUGGCAGGAUCCAGAGUACCACGAGACACGGGAAACCUUGUGGGAAGCAGGAGGGACCACCCUCCAAGGCUAAAUACUCCUCAGUGACCGAUAGCGCAUAGUACUGUGAAGGAAAGGUGAAAAGGACCCCGGGAGGGGAGUGAAAGAGAACCUGAAACCCUGUGUUUACAAGCUGUGGAAGUGCCUUAUGUGCACAACCGCGUACUUUUUGUAGAACGGUCCGGCGAGUUACGUUUACUGGCAAGGUUAAGCACUAUAGGUACGGAGCCGAAGGGAAACCAAGUCUUAAGAGGGCGUGAAGUCAGUAAGAGUAGACCCGAAACCGGGUGAUCUACCCAUGUCCAGGCUGAAGCUGCCGUAAGAGGUAGUGGAGGGCCGAACGCACAUCCGUUGAAAAGGGUGGCGAUGAGGUGUGGGUAGGGGAGAAAUUCCAAUCGAACCCGGAGAUAGCUGGUUCUCCUCGAAAUAGCUUUAGGGCUAGCCUCGAUACAGAUUUGCGGAGGUAGAGCACUGAAUUUCCUAGGGGGCGUCAAAGCCUACCGAAGAAUAUCAAACUCCGAAUGCCAUAUAGAUGAUGUACGGGAGUCAGACUGCACGAGAUAAGUUGGGCAGUCAAAAGGGAAAGAGCCCAGACCUGCUGCUAAGGUCCCAAAGUACGUGUUAAGUGGAAAAGGAUGUGGGAUUUCGAAGACAACUAGGAUGUUGGCUCAGAAGCAGCCACACAUUCAAAGAGUGCGUAAUAGCUCACUAGUCGAGAGGUCCUGCGCCGAAAAUGUCCGGGGCUGAAACACGACACCGAAGCUUAGGAAUCACAUAGUGAUUGGUAGAGGAGCAUUCUUAAAACCGACGAAGCUGUACCGGAAGGAGCAGUGGAGGGAUAAGAAGAGAGAAUGCCGGAAUGAGUAGCGAGAGAGAGGUGGGAAUCCUCUCGGCCGAAUAUCCAAGGUUUCCAGGGUAAAGCUGAUCUGCCCUGGGUAAGUCGGGGCCUAAGGAGAGGCAGAAAUGCGUAUCCGAUGGACAGCAGGUUGAGAUUCCUGCACUAUCUUAAAACAGAACUGUGGGGACAUUUGUGGAGAGCACAGGCGCGGAACGGAAAGCCGCGUGCAAGCGAAGGAGGAGUCACAUAGGAAAAACCGUGUGGCAAUCCAAAGGCGUGAUGCGGACCGAACUAGAGUAGGGAAGUGUGUGAGCCAUGAAUCAAGAAAAGCCGCUAUUGUUUUUAAGAUACCCGUACCGUAAACCGACACAGGUGGAUGAGGAGAGAAUCCUAAGGCCGGCGGAAGAAGCAUUGUUAAGGAACUCGGCAAAAUGACCCCGUAACUUCGGGAGAAGGGGUGCCACAGAAAUGUGGCCGCAGAGAAUAGGCUCAAGCAACUGUUUAGCAAAAACACAGGUCUAUGCAAAACCGUAAGGUGAGGUAUAUGGGCUGACGCCUGCCCGGUGCUGGAAGGUUAAGAGGAGAGGUUAGCGCAAGCGAAGCUUUGAAUUUAAGCCCCAGUAAACGGCGGCCGUAACAAUAACGGUCCUAAGGUAGCGAAAUUCCUUGUCGGGUAAGUUCCGACCCGCACGAAAGGCGUAAUGAUUUGAGCGCUGUCUCGACAAUGCAUCCGGUGAAAUUGAAGUACCAGUGAAGAUGCUGGUUACCCGCGCCAGGACGGAAAGACCCCAUGGAGCUUUACUCCAGUUUGGUACUGGGGUCCGGCAGUGCAUGUACAGGAUAGGUGGGAGGCUGUGAACCUGGAACGCCAGUUUCAGGGGAGCCGGUGUUGGGAUACCACCCUUGUGCUGCUGGGCUUCUAACCAGCGGCCUUUAUCAGGCCGGGGGACAAUGCCAGACGGGGAGUUUGACUGGGGCGGUCGCCUCCGAAAGGGUAUCGGAGGCGCUCAAAGGUUCCCUCAGAAUGGU
rnacentral:rRNA from 1 species